UGUAGGUUAGGGGUUGUAGGUGAACAACAGACUGUAGGUUAGGGGUUGUAGGUGAACAACAGACUGUAGGUUAGGGGUUGUAGAUGAACAACAGACUGUAGGUUAGGGGUUGUAGGUGACAACAGACUGUAGGUUAGGGGUUGUAGGUGACAACAGACUGUAGGUUAGGGGUUGUAGGUGAACAACAGACUGUAGGUUAGGGGUUGUAGAUGAACAACAGACUGUAGGUUAGGGGUUGUAGAUGAACAACAGACUGUAGGUUAGGGGUUGUAGAUGAACAACAGACUGUAGGUUAGGGGUUGUAGGUGAACAACAGACUGUAGGUUAGGGGUUGUAGGUGAACAACAGACUGUAGGUUAGGGGUUGUAGGUGAACAACAGACUGUAGGUUAGGGGUUGUAGGUGAACAACAGGCUGUAGGUUAGGGGUUGUAGAUGAACAACAGACUGUAGGUUAGGGGUUGUAGAUGAACAACAGACUGUAGGUUAGGGGUUGUAGAUGAACAACAGACUGUAGGUUAGGGGUUGUAGGUGAACAACAGACUGUAGGUUAGGGGUUGUAGGUGAACAACAGACAACUAGUUCUGUAGGGAAACCUCAAUGUUAGAAAAGACCUUGGUCUCUGUGUGUAAACAAGCAACUAAAGUUGAGGGUCAUAGAUGAACAAUCGGUACCGUCCAAUUUUAACGGUGAGGUCUUUUUUAAAGGAGAACCAGACACAUGGUUUGGC